rnacentral:pre_miRNA from 1 species
AGAGUACUCCCUUCGUCCAAAAAUACUUCUCAUAGGAAUGGAUGUAUCUAGAUAUAUUUUAGUUCUAGAUACAUUUAUUUUUAUACAUUUAGGCAACAAGUAAUUCGUGAUGAGGGGAGUACGUA